rnacentral:rRNA from 1 species
AGAGUUUGAUCCUGGCUCAGAAUCAACGCUGGCGGCGUGCCUAACACAUGCAAGUCGCACGAGAAAGUGGAGCAAUCCAUGAGUACAGUGGCGCACGGGUGAGUAACACGUGAAUCAUCUACCUUCGAGUGGGGAAUAACUGAGAGAAAUCUUAGCUAAUACCGCAUAAUACCUACGGGUCAAAGCAGCAAUGCGCUUGAAGAGGAGUUCGCGGCAGAUUAGUUAGUUGGCGGGGUAAUGGCCCACCAAGACGAUGAUCUGUAUCCGGCCUGAGAGGGCGCGCGGACACACUGGAACUGAAACACGGUCCAGACUCCUACGGGAGGCAGCAGUGGGGAAUUUUGCGCAAUGGGGGAAACCCUGACGCAGCAACGCCGCGUGGAGGAUGAAGCCCCUUGGGGUGUAAACUCCUUUCGAUAGGGAAGAUAAUGACGGUACCUAUAUAAGAAGCCCCGGCUAACUUCGUGCCAGCAGCCGCGGUAAUACGAGGGGGGCAAGCGUUGUUCGGAAUUAUUGGGCGUAAAGGGCGCGUAGGCGGUCUGAUAAGUCUUGUGUGAAAUCUCUGGGCUCAACCCAGAGUCUGCAUAGGAAACUGUCGGGCUUGAGUAUGGGAGAGGUGCGUGGAAUUUCCGGUGUAGCGGUGAAAUGCGUAGAUAUCGGAAGGAACACCUGUGGCGAAAGCGGCGCACUGGACCAAAACUGACGCUGAGGCGCGAAAGCUAGGGGAGCAAACAGGAUUAGAUACCCCCGUAGUCC